CUCUCUUAAUUCACAAGACAUAGAAUAGUUAAAUAAAGUUUGGCUUAAGCUGUUUUGAAUUCAUGGCAAUUUUGGGUAGGUUUUGCUAAUUGAAAUAAGAACUCAGAUACAGCAAGGCCUUUGUGACAUACUGAGUUUAUGUGGGUGUCUCCCCCUGCUCACUGAGGUGGAGAAAAUCAGGAUGAGCUUUUGAAGGUGACUGAUCCUGGAUCAAGGCCUGGACUGUGAGUUUGGCUGUGACUUUGUGGUUAUUUCUUCCUGUCAUAAUCUCAGAGGCUAACACGGCAAAGAACCCCAAGCACUGGAAUGUGAGCAGAUCUGAGAUCCAGAGGAUGGGAAACAAGAUGGAUGUCAACUCUGCUUAGACCAAGAAAAGAAGCAAAGAUUUGCUGUUUCAUUCAGGGGAAAAGGGACCUUUUAAGGCCUCCCUUCAGAGUGCCCACAGCUGGCAUGAAUUAAGGUAAAUUCAGUGUUUACCUCAAAACUCACAUUCCCCAAGUACAACAAGUGGUCAACAGCAUAAUCUAAUGCUGGACCUCCUGACCAGUUCCUCAGACUUUCUGACCAGUUUCUCAUUUGCAACUCAUCAUUCAGGGAUGGUCUAUUAUGUGUAAAGCUAAGUCAGCUGAUGAGCACAGCACUGAUCUUCCUCUAAAUGGCAAGAGCUCCUCCUUCCUUGUGGCCAUGCAUGAGCCACACAAGACAUGAAAAAAACUUCUUGUUUGGGAAAGGUGAGGACAGAGAGAACAGGAGAAGAACCAGGAAGGGGCUGAGGUAUAUUUCCAGUCAUGGAAUGAAGAUGAGAUAUCCUGGAACUUCUGUGCCUGCCUCUGGCAUAGUCAGUCUGUCCGUGCACUGUGGCUGUUCAGAAAAAGCACGAGGCUGACAAAAAAAGCUUUUUUCUGGACUAAGUCACUGUGGGAUGUCUUGCUGCUAUUCUUGCAUCUGCUCCUCUAAGGGACUCAUGCAGAAAGGGCAGGAUAAUGGGGCACUCCUAUCCUGACCCUUCUGCCUCUGGGACAGCCCGCUCUCAUCACUCUUGUUAGCUCUAAUUGCUUUUAUUACAGAUACUUGACCAAUUUAUUUCUGUUUUAUUAAAUAGUUUUCAGAUGGUACAGUUAGCAGAAGUAGCAGCUUGUUGGUUGAAAGUAAAUGCCUUCCCAAGAAAAGAAGCUGUGUGAGUCAGCACAUGGACAGACAUGUAGUGUCACUUGCCUGAGACCAGCAGAGACAAAGGAUUGCCCGAGGUGUGCAGACCUGGUUGAGCAUACCCACACAUGACACAGCACUGCCCUCUCCAGCUGCUCACAGCCUGACAAAUUUGCCAAGCAAAGAUGUUGGAAUUCCUGCUUCAGCUGUGGGCACAACUGUCUGGCAGGACCUGAACUCUGCAUGUUGGGUGGAGCAUCACCAAGGGGCAGGAGAGAAGUUCUGGCCCUGCCCUGCUGAGUCCACACUCACAGGGUUUCACUAACAGGCACAUUUCCCUCCUGCUCCCUGAAAAAUGUGGGUUGCUUCAAUGCGAGGGAUGUAUUCAGUCACAUCGGUGUGCUGAGGACUGGGCAAACUCAGCUGGUUUCUGCCUUGGUGGAAGGUCUGUUAGCAGGCACAGGGGACCCAUAAAGCUCUGAGAAAUCAGCUGUGGCUCACACUGAGGGUUGCUGCAAGUUCAGUCAAUGUGCACUCCACAAGAAUGAUCACUUACAUAUUUAAAUUUUGAUUAUGUAUGAAAUGAAGGGGGAAAAAAAGCAAAAUGAAGUUAGGAAUUAAUAGCUGUUUUGUAGCUUUUGAGGCAUUUAUGAACACUUUGUGGAUGAUGGAUAGUUCUGAAAAUAUGACUUUCUCAAGAAAAUCAGUCCAUUUUGCAACUCUAAUGAAUCGUGAUAUACAGUAGUCCAAACACUGCUUGCCAGCCAGCUACCUUAAAACAAGAUGCUAAGUGAAUAUUUUUCUUGAUUAGAUAAUGGGCUGGUUGAAAUUCCUUCAGCUUUACUGAAACAGAAGUUAGCAAUUUCAGACAUAUCAGAUGAUGCAUCAAUUUUCUGUAAACAGAAGACUGUGCAACCCACUUUAUUGAAAAGGCCUUUAUACCGAGCUAGAUUUAAUCUCUCAAUUUGAGAAGCAGCCCCAUGAAAUAAGAUGUUUGCAUGCAAAAUCUCCCAGAUUUCCAAUGGAAAUAUAAAACAAAGAAGAGCAUGUUCCCUUGGGGACUGCACCUAUCUUGGAUUAGAUUUUCUCUGAUGUUUUUGCAUCAUAUUACCAAUGGCUUCAGGGAAGUGAAACAGCAGUUUUCUUUCUUGAGAACAAAGGCUUGCAGAGUUAAAAAAAAUGUUAAUAUAUUUAAAGCACUUUUGGCUACUGUUCUUUUUAUUACUCUGAGAAUUCUGGACAAAAAAAGGUAUCUUAUUGUAUUAUUUUAUCAUCUAU